GCUCCCUCGCUGCGAUCUAUUGA
rnacentral:piRNA from 2 species